CUCGCUUCUCGGCCUUUUGGCUAAGAUCAAGUGUAGUAUCUGUUCUUAUCAGUGGUUUUGUCUCUGCCAUUGAUGUAGAAUGGAUGCUGCAUGGAAGAGCAGGUAUAACGGGGCGUACCGGGGCUGGUGCCACAACACCAGCUCAACGGCUGCCCCGAUGUGACCUGUUUCCUCCGGGUCUGGCCAUGAGGUA